AAUAGUUUUGAAUAACUAAUUAAAUACUAAUUAAAUACUAAUUAAAUGCUUAACAAUUAAGAGAUUUAUAAAUCUCCACUAUGUAAACCGCCUUUGACCUCCAAUACGCGUAUUUUCCUUUUUUUUUUCUUUUUUUUUUCUUUUUUUUUUCUUUUCUCUUUUCUAAACCUAACCCCUCGCCUCUUCUUCCCCAAUUUUCACUCUGUUCACGCACCGUAACAGAGAGAAAGAAAAAAAAAAUUUGCUCCUAAUUAUUUCAAGAAUUCAAGUAAAACCCAACCCCCUACUUCUAAUUUCUCCAUUCUCUGAGCCAUAAACUCAACCAAAUUUCCAAUUUCUACAAGUAUUGAAGAGAGAAAAAAAAAAAGAAAAAAAACUCACAAUCAGAAUAUUUAGAAGUGAUGAAGAAGAUGAAGAAGAUGAAGAAGUUGAAGAACAAUUAGAGCCAAAUGGAGUUUAGAGACUCCAUUGGAGAUGCCCUAAGUAUAUACUUUAAGGAUCCAAUAAAAGUUUUUCUUCACAAUUUCCCACUCUCUUGUUAUUAGUAUUAUUUUUUAAUUUGUGUUUUGGUAUAAUAAGACGAAAUUAAAGUUGGAAUUGAAAAUGAAAUUUGGG